GAUAAGGAGCUUGCUCUUUGACGUUAGCGGCGGACGGGUGAGUAACACGUGGGUAACCUACCUAUAAGACUGGGAUAACUUCGGGAAACCGGAGCUAAUACCGGAUAACAUUUGGAACCGCAUGGUUCUAAAGUGAAAGAUGGUUUUGCUAUCACUUAUAGAUGGACCCGCGCCGUAUUAGCUAGUUGGUAAGGUAACGGCUUACCAAGGCGACGAUACGUAGCCGACCUGAGAGGGUGAUCGGCCACACUGGAACUGAGACACGGUCCAGACUCCUACGGGAGGCAGCAGUAGGGAAUCUUCCGCAAUGGGCGAAAGCCUGACGGAGCAACGCCGCGUGAGUGAUGAAGGGUUUCGGCUCGUAAAACUCUGUUAUUAGGGAAGAACAAACGUGUAAGUAACUGUGCACGUCUUGACGGUACCUAAUCAGAAAGCCACGGCUAACUACGUGCCAGCAGCCGCGGUAAUACGUAGGUGGCAAGCGUUAUCCGGAAUUAUUGGGCGUAAAGCGCGCGUAGGCGGUUUCUUAAGUCUGAUGUGAAAGCCCACGGCUCAACCGUGGAGGGUCAUUGGAAACUGGGAAACUUGAGUGCAGAAGAGGAAAGUGGAAUUCCAUGUGUAGCGGUGAAAUGCGCAGAGAUAUGGAGGAACACCAGUGGCGAAGGCGACUUUCUGGUCUGUAACUGACGCUGAUGUGCGAAAGCGUGGGGAUCAAACAGGAUUAGAUACCCUGGUAGUCCACGCCGUAAACGAUGAGUGCUAAGUGUUAGGGGGUUUCCGCCCCUUAGUGCUGCAGCUAACGCAUUAAGCACUCCGCCUGGGGAGUACGACCGCAAGGUUGAAACUCAAAGGAAUUGACGGGGACCCGCACAAGCGGUGGAGCAUGUGGUUUAAUUCGAAGCAACGCGAAGAACCUUACCAAAUCUUGACAUCCUUUGAAAACUCUAGAGAUAGAGCCUUCCCCUUCGGGGGACAAAGUGACAGGUGGUGCAUGGUUGUCGUCAGCUCGUGUCGUGAGAUGUUGGGUUAAGUCCCGCAACGAGCGCAACCCUUAAGCUUAGUUGCCAUCAUUAAGUUGGGCACUCUAGGUUGACUGCCGGUGACAAACCGGAGGAAGGUGGGGAUGACGUCAAAUCAUCAUGCCCCUUAUGAUUUGGGCUACACACGUGCUACAAUGGACAAUACAAAGGGCAGCUAAACCGCGAGGUCAUGCAAAUCCCAUAAAGUUGUUCUCAGUUCGGAUUGUAGUCUGCAACUCGACUACAUGAAGCUGGAAUCGCUAGUAAUCGUAGAUCAGCAUGCUAC
rnacentral:rRNA from 1 species